UUGCGAUUCUGACACAAAGCUAUCGCGUGGGCGGGUCUUACAGGGGUGCGUCCCCAUUGGCUAAUGCGUAUUUGGAGUAUUUUUGAGUGACAGCUCAGUGCCUGCCGGCCCCCUGACGUUUCAGUGCAGUUAACUUAAGAGAUUUUGGAUGACACACAAACCACUCCACAGCGGAUUCCUACAAGAUUAAUAAAAUAAUAAUGAAACAUUGUGGGACGUGCAGGACCCCGAGCAGAGCAGAGCUACGAUGCUGUCCCAGGUAACGUUAGCUAGCUCACAUCAGGCAGCAGGCAGUCCAACCAGGAGGACGUGGUAGCAGCAGAGGGAGAGGAGCCUUCAGUCUCUCUGUGGAGGAAACACUGUUUGCUAAGGCUUCUAACAGCCAGGGUAUAGACCAAUAGAGUAUGUAUUGAUCAUAUUUUACUGAGAUACUCAAUUAACACUUACAAUAACCUUUUUCUUAAGUUUAUUUUCAUUUGUGUACUUGUAGUUUCUAAGUCCAUUGUAUAUCAAUAUAUACAGUAUA